GCCCCGCUUUCCCGGCCCUCGCUCUGGGGGCGAGCCCCCGACCGAGAGCCCGACGACAGCGCACCGGGAACCUCAAAAGGACCUCUUGCUCUCCGCCAUUCACUCCAGAGUUCCUUCAUCCCAGGCCCCUAGUGGGCGCUCAGGCUGGGAGUGACCCCUGAGAGGAAGGAGGAGCGGUGACUCCUGGAACAGCCCGCGAGCGGGGAAGGGCAGGCACCCCUCAACCCAUAAGGAAGGUGGAACCAAAAUGAGUGAAGAUCCAAGAAUGGUGAGACUUGGCAGCUUUGGAAUGAAAGAUCAUUUGGACUGAGAUUCAGUUGCCACAUCAUAAGCAUCUCUGUGGAGAAACUGAGACUUCCAGCCAACAGCCACAUCAAUGACUCAUCUUAGAAGUAGAUCCUCCAGCCCCAGUCAAGCCUUCUGAUGACUGCAGACCCAGAUGACACAACCUCCCAAGAGACACUGAGCCAGAACCACCUCGCUCAGCUGCUCCCCGAUUUCUGACCCUCAGAAAUUGUGUGACAUAAUAAAUGUUUAUUUU